rnacentral:rRNA from 1 species
UACAGAGGUCCCGAGCGUUGUUCGGAUUCACUGGGCGUAAAGGGUGCGUAGGUGGCGAGGUAAGUCGGAUGUGAAAGCUCGGAGCUCAACUCCGAAAUGGCAUUGGAAACUACCUUGCUCGAGGGUUGGAGGGGGGACUGGAAUACUUGGUGUAGCAGUGAAAUGCGUAGAUAUCAAGUGGAACACCAGUGGCGAAGGCGAGUCCCUGGACAACUCCUGACACUGAGGCACGAAAGCUAGGGGAGCAAACGGG